rnacentral:rRNA from 1 species
CCUACGGGAGGCAGCAGUAGGGAAUAUUGCACAAUGGGCGAAAGCCUGAUGCAGCGACGCCGCGUGAGGGAUGACGGCCUUCGGGUUGUAAACCUCUUUCAGCAGGGAAGAAGCGAAAGUGACGGUACCCGGAGAAGAAGCUGCGGCUAACUACGUGCCAGCAGCCGCGGUAAU